UCAUUUCCCAUCAUUCAUAUUUGCGCUCCACUGUUUAUUGAUUAUAUCACAAUGUAAAAGGACUUGGCUGUAACAGGAUAUGUUGAUUAAUGCGCCCAUUUUGAGUGUGGCACACUGUACAGUUCACUUUGAUUAAAUAAAUACACUCCAAACAUGCAGCAGCAGCAGAAACCUUAUAAAUCAAAAUUACAUACAAAACAAAUUCACGAGCUGCACAUGAAACAAUGUGCUGCAGAAAAACAUGCAUGAAUAUCAAACAUAAAGCAGAGUCAGAAACCAACAACACACGCAAAAGACGGACUUCAGCCAGAGGUGCAACGAUUGUUCAACGCUGUUCAUAAAAAUCAUGAUAUGAGGUCAAGAAAAAUAUCCUGAUAAUGAUGUGGCAAUAAUUAAAGGUGGUGUAGUCAGGAUCUGAUGAAGUUCAAGUUUUUAGGAGAAAUCUUGAAUGUAAACUGUACUCCUCCCAACCAGUUUCCCCCUCAGCUCCUCCUCUCCCCUCCCUUAAGCCCCGCCCACAAACAGACGCUCCUGCUCGCUCGUAUCGUUCCAAUUAAAUUCAGAUAUAAUGCAGAUAAAUACUUCAGAUAAUUACAAAUGGGGCCCAGUCAAGGUGAAAGUCAAAAGCAUUGGUGCUACUGUAGAUGCCAACAGACUACCAGCAAACACAAUGUUUGCAGGACUUCUACAACGAGGAUAAAGUGACAUAGUCCAGGACCCGAGGGAGGACAGUUUAGCGAUGGCGCUACAACACGCUACAGCAGGUCCGUUUGACAAGAAACACUUCUGUUACAGACACUUGUCUUACUUUGUUAAAGCGGUUUACCUGUCCAGCAGAAAGGUUACAGGGUCACCAAGAUCCCCAAGCGUCCCCCAUCGUUUAUGUUGACCCGGCUUUUUAGCUCUUGUCCGGUCUACCUCUGUUUUAAGCGCCCGUUAUUCCUCCAGAGUCUCCGGUAUUUACUUUGUUUUCUUGCUUGUGUCGGCAGUCGUGGCCAAAGGAGGAUUCAGACAAUUUUCCGAACUUUCUGGUUGGUUUCUGCUGUCCGAUAUUGUAGCACGCUAACUUUGUUUGGGCUCGUGAACGUUAUUUGAGGACGUGGAGCGGGCCUCACACCAAUCAGGUUGGGGGAGGCGGAGAAUGGCUUUGUUUACAGCCAGAAAGAGAAAAUGUUGACUACACAGGCGUAAGAGAACACAGCGAUAUCAUGAUAUUCCCAAAUGUCAUCAAUAACUAAUAUCUAUUGACUGAUAUUAAAAGUUUUUUUGUAAACACACCUUUAAAUAAUCAGUCAAACUAAGAAAAGGCAAGACAAGAGUGCAAAUCUGAAACGAAGAUCGGGGUAAAUGCUUGUUAAUAUUUUGUCAUAAACAGUUUCCUUCCAGAUUUCUAUGUAAAAUAUUCAGAUGAAUCUCAGUCUGAAUUUGUUUUACUGCCUGAAGUGAAAAUCAGCUUCCUCAGUCACAGUCCACAUACCUCAACUAAAGCAUAAAAAAAGCCGCUUUAUCGUGUAUCUAGUUUCUCUCCGGCCACAUUUUGACCGACUUCUCUUCAACCUGCAGAAAAGUGUGGACCCAUUGUUCAGUAAAUGCGCUCCCUCCCUCUCGUCUCCUCUCUGUUUCAUCUCCUCCUGUCUCUCUUUAUUCUCGAUUUCACCCGUCCACUUCUGCUCGUCACGGUCCUUUCAGUCUUUCACUUUGAGUCUCCUUCUAUGCCUCCUCCCCCCAGCUCUUGUUCCCUCACUCCUCUUUCCUCUCUUCCUUCAGGUGAGGCGGCUCUGACCUCGACUAAGACUGGUCCUCAUCGCAGACACAGACCCAUCAAAAUGUAAAUGACGACAGGUGGAGGAGGAAAAGUGAGAGUGGGAGUGGGUGCGUCGUGCGCCCGAUGAGCCGUGCCUCCAGGGGCCGACCGAAUCGAUUUGUGGCGCGGUCUUCCCAGAAGGCAAAUGGCCGAUAUCUGAUGAUGUCACCGCUAUCUCCUCUCCUGGCUGGCGUGCUACCACCGGCGCUCUCAGCGGGUCACACUGGGAGGGUUUAAUGGAGAUAAUAGCCGGCUUUGUGGCAGUGAAACUGUCAUCAGUGCUGUUUCUUUCUUAUUCCUCUCCUCCAUGCUGAAGUAAUAACACGUUUCUGAGUUCCUCUGAAUGCUUCACUGACCUUUUCCUCCAGCCUAUUUCCACCAUCUCCGCUAGAUCCUA
rnacentral:lncRNA from 1 species